UUUUCUGCAGGAUGAAUUCUCUCUGAUCUCGACUACCCUGGCUACGACUCUUUUCCCGCGCCUCCAGCGCUCGCGAAUUGGCUUCGUCCACCCGAUUGGCCUGGUUGCGAGUAUGCUGGCUCUCGUGGAAGAGUCUGCGUCGGGGGGAGCCAGCCGGCUCCAUCUGAUCGUCCUGGGUUCUGGAGCCCAGUCUGUCUUUCACCGACCCUCUCACCUGAGUGGUCUGGUGUGUUUUGGCCUUUUCACGGUCGGAAACUGCAUACUCCACACUCGCCAUAGUUUCUUCCCUGAAAAGUGUUCGAUUGUGAUUGUUAUUUAAGCAGCCCUCCUUCUAGCGCCAAUGUUAACGCCAAGUUUCGCCGGCGCGUCCAAUCACAGAAUCCACGCGCUAGAACCUGCACAGUAACGGAUCACACAGAAGCUUGACGGCUUGUGCCGCCGGGGGAUAGCUCCGGUGUGAGAAUGAGUACAGGCCGUUACAAGGUUUAACAAU
rnacentral:lncRNA from 1 species